rfam:Oryza rufipogon genomic scaffold, chr10
CCUCCGUCCCAUUAUAAGUGCAACAACUUUAAUCGUUCGUCUUAUUUGAAAGUUUUUUAUAAUUAAUAUUUUUUAUUGUUAUGAGAUGAUAAAAUAUAAAUAGUAUUUUACUCGUGACUUAUGUUUUUAAAUUUUUUCAAAAACUUUUCAAAUAAGACGGACGGUCAAAGUUGGGCGCGGAAAACCAUGGCUGCACUUAUA